GACGAACGCUGGCGGCGUGCCUAAUACAUGCAAGUAGAACGCUGAAGGAGGAGCUUGCUUCUCUGGAUGAGUUGCGAACGGGUGAGUAACGCGUAGGUAACCUCCUGGUAGCGGGGGAUAACUAUUGGAAACGAUAGCUAAUACCGCAUAAGAGUAGAUGUUGCAUGACAUUUGCUUAAAAGGUGCAAUUGCAUCACUACCAGAUGGACCUGCGUUGUAUUAGCUAGUUGGUGAGGUAACGGCUCACCAAGGCGACGAUACAUAGCCGACCUGAGAGGGUGAUCGGCCACACUGGGAUGAGACACGGCCCAGACUCCUACGGGAGGCAGCAGUAGGGAAUCUUCGGCAAUGGACGGAAGUCUGACCGAGCAACGCCGCGUGAGUGAAGAAGGUUUUCGGAUCGUAAAGCUCUGUUGUAAGAGAAGAACGAGUGUAGAGUGAA
rnacentral:rRNA from 1 species